rnacentral:rRNA from 2 species
GAACUGACGUCUCUCCAAUGUCAUAACGACUCUCGGCAACGGAUAUCUCGGCUCUCGCAUCGAUGAAGAACGUAGCGAAAUGCGAUACUUGGUGUGAAUUGCAGAAUCCCGUGAACCAUCGAGUCUUUGAACGCAAGUUGCGCCCGAAGCCAUUCGGCCGAGGGCACGUCUGCCUGGGCGUCACGCAUCGCGUCG